rnacentral:rRNA from 1 species
GACGAACGCUGGCGGCGUGCUUAACACACGCAAGUCGAACGGAAAGGCCCUGCUUUUGUGGGGUGCUCGAGUGGCGAACGGGUGAGUAACCCGUGAGUAACCUGCCCUUGACUUUGGGAUAACUUCAGGAAACUGGGGCUAAUACCGGAUAGGAGCUCCUGCUGCAUGGUGGGGGUUGGAAAGUUUCGGCGGUUGGGGAUGGACUCGCGGCUUAUCAGCUUGUUGGUGGGGUAGUGGCUUACCAAGGCUUUGACGGGUAGCCGGCCUGAGAGGGUGACCGGCCACAUUGGGACUGAGAUACGGCCCAGACUCCUACGGGAGGCAGCAGUGGGGAAUAUUGCACAAUGGGCGGAAGCCUGAUGCAGCAACGCCGCGUGCGGGAUGACGGCCUUCGGGUUGUAAACCGCUUUCGCCUGUGACGAAGCGUGAGUGACGGUAAUGGGUAAAGAAGCACCGGCUAACUACGUG